CCGAGUUUGCUGUCGUGUUGCUGGUUUGUGACCACGGCUGCUGCCGCCUUAGCAAGUCUGAACCUGAAGAGAACAAGGAAACUAACCCAUGUUCUAUGGGCAGUUUGUUAUUUUUAAAACUAUAAAGAAAAAAAGAUAAGCAUUUCAAGAAUGAGCCAGAUGCUGAGCCUGAUUUCAUGGAGUGAAAGAAGCUGUGCUAGGCCACCUUCCUCCCCAGGCCAGGAGCAAAGAAACUCUCCUGCUUCUCCCUGCAGUCCGGCUGUAGCUGCAUGUUGCAGGCUCCCGCAGGUGUAUAUAAAACAUUCAGAGUUAUACAGGAGCCAAGAGUCUACACAAGCAGUUGACUUGUUUCUGUUGAUCACCUAAGAAGGACUGAGAGGAGAUUGCAGGUUAUUUUUUUUUUUUUUUUUUUUUUGUACCCCUGACUGUCCUAAGGACAUCUGUUUUUCCGUAUCGCCUGCCUCUGAAGAUGCCUGUUUUCUGCAUGAAGCUCUUCUGGAGGAGAAACAGAAAAGUUACGUAGGUUCAUGUCCUUGAGCCAGCUGCAUUUAGACAGGCAGCUUCCUGUCCCAGCCAGCAGCUUUUCCAGAUUUACCUGACUUUGUAGCAAAGCAAUAAUCAGAAUGGCCUUGUUCUUUGUUCU
rnacentral:lncRNA from 1 species